GUGCUCACUUUGGUAGCGCAUAUACUAAAAUUGGAAUGAUGCAGAGAACAUUAGCAUGGCCCCUGCACAAGGUUGACAUAAAUUUAUGAAGCAUCCCGAAUUUUU
ensembl:snRNA U6 U6 spliceosomal RNA